GUGGGAACGCGCCCUUCGGUUCGGAAUAACUCAGGGAAACUUGGGCUAAUACCGGAUACGCCCUUACGGGGAAAGAUUUAUUGCCGAAGGAACGGCCCGCGUCCGAUUAGCUUGUUGGUGAGGUAACGGCUCACCAAGGCGACGAUCGGUAGCUGGUCUGAGAGGAUGACCAGCCUCACUGGGACUGAGACACGGCCCAGACUCCUACGGGAGGCAGCAGUGGGGAAUAUUGGACAAUGGGCGCAAGCCUGAUCCAGCCAUGCCGCGUGGGUGAUGAAGGCCCUAGGGUUGUAAAGCCCUUUCAGCGGGGAAGAUAAUGACGGUACCCGCAGAAGAAGCCCCGGCUAACUUCGUGCCAGCAGCCGCGGUAAUACGAAGGGGGCUAGCGUUGCUCGGAAUUACUGGGCGUAAAGCGCACGUAGGCGGAUUGUUAAGUCGGGGGUGAAAUCCUGGAGCUCAACUCCAGAACUGCCUUCGAUACUGGCGAUCUCGAGUUCGGGAGAGGUGAGUGGAACU
rnacentral:rRNA from 1 species